CUGUAAUAUGGUGUAAGGUGCACUAAGAAUUUUGAUUUCUUAUGAUUAGGUUCAAUUCCUUUUAUUGCAGA
rnacentral:tRNA from 1 species